rnacentral:rRNA from 1 species
AUACGGAGGGUGCAAGCGUUACUCGGAAUCACUGGGCGUAAAGCGCGCGCAGGCGGGCUGAUAAGUUGGAUGUGAAAGCCUACGGCUCAACCGUAGAACUGCAUCCAAAACUGUCAGUCUAGAGUCUGGGAGGGGAAGAUGGAAUUAGUUGUGUAGGGGUAAAAUCCGUAGAGAUAACUAGGAAUACCAAAAGCGAAGGCAAUCUUCUGGAACACUUCUGACGCUGAGACGCGAAAGCGUGGGGAGCAAACAGGAUUAGAUACCCUAGUAGUCC